rnacentral:rRNA from 1 species
CCUACGGGAGACAGCAGUGAGGAAUAUUGGUCAAUGGACGAGAGUCUGAACCAGCCAAGUAGCGUGAAGGAUGACUGCCCUAUGGGUUGUAAACUUCUUUUAUAUGGGAAUAAAAUGUUCCACGUGUGGGAUUUUGUAUGUACCAUAUGAAUAAGGAUCGGCUAACUCCGUGCCAGCAGCCGCGGUAAUACGGAGGAUCCGAGCGUUAUCCGGAUUUAUUGGGUUUAAAGGGAGCGUAGGUGGAUUGUUAAGUCAGUUGUGAAAGUUUGCGGCUCAACCGUAAAAUUGCAGUUGAAACUGGCAGUCUUGAGUACAGUAGAGGUAGGCGGAAUGCGUGGUGUAGCGGUGAAAUGCUUAGAGAUCACGAAGAACUCCGAUUGCGAAGGCAGUUCACUGGACUGCAACUGACACUGAGGCUCGAAAGUGUGGGUAUCAAACAGGAUUAGAUACCCCAGUAGUC